GAUGAAGAACGUAGCGAAAUGCGAUAAGUAAUGUGAAUUGCAGAAUUCAGUGAAUCAUCGAAUCUUUGAACGCACAUUGCGCCCGCCGGUAUUCCGGCGGGCAUGCCUGUUCGAGCGUCAUUACAACCCUCAGGCCCCCGGGCCUGGCGUUGGGGAUCGGCGGAGCCCCCCGUGGGCACACGCCGUCCCCCAAAUGCAGUGGCGGUCCCGCCGCAGCUUCCAUCGCGUAGUAGCUAACACCUCGCGACUGGAGAGCGGCGCGGCCACGCCGUAAAACACCCAACUCUUCUGAAGUUGACCUCGAAUCAGGUAGGAAUACCCGCUGAACUUAAGCAUAUCAAUAAGCGGAGGA
rnacentral:misc_RNA from 1 species